AGUGAACGCUGGCUGUAGGCCUAACACAUGCAAGUCGAACGGCAGCACAGGAGAGCUUGCUCUCUGGGUGGCGAGUGGCGGACGGGUGAGGAAUACAUCGGAAUCUACUCUGUCGUGGGGGAUAACGUAGGGAAACUUACGCUAAUACCGCAUACGACCUACGGGUGAAAGCAGGGGACCUUCGGGCCUUGCGCGAUUGAAUGAGCCGAUGUCGGAUUAGCUAGUUGGCGGGGUAAAGGCCCACCAAGGCGACGAUCCGUAGCUGGUCUGAGAGGAUGAUCAGCCACACUGGAACUGAGACACGGUCCAGACUCCUACGGGAGGCAGCAGUGGGGAAUAUUGGACAAUGGGCGCAAGCCUGAUCCAGCCAUACCGCGUGGGUGAAGAAGGCCUUCGGGUUGUAAAGCCCUUUUGUUGGGAAAGAAAUCCAGCUGGCUAAUACCCGGUUGGGAUGACGGUACCCAAAGAAUAAGCACCGGCUAACUUCGUGCCAGCAGCCGCGUAA
rnacentral:rRNA from 1 species